rnacentral:ncRNA from 2 species
GCCCCCAUCGUCUAGUGG